UACGAGGGGGGGCAAGCGUUGUUCGGAAUUAUUGGGCGUAAAGGGCGCGUAGGCGGUGCGGUAAGUCACCUGUGAAACCUCUAGGCUCAACCUAGAGCCUGCAGGCGAAACUGCCGUGCUUGAGGGUGGGAGAGGUGCGUGGAAUUCCUGGUGUAGCGGUGGAAUGCGCAGAUAUCAGGAAGAACACCGGUGGCGAAGGCGGUUCUCUGGGCAUUACCUGACGCUGAGGAGCGAAAGCGUGGGGAGCGAACAGG
rnacentral:rRNA from 1 species